UGUAAGGAAGGAACAGGAAGGAAGCACAGAAAGGGAUUGAGGGCGAUGACAAAAAUAUUGCCCUGAUGGCUCCAGAGAGGAAAAUGAUACCAGUGAAGGUGCGGAGAGACUGAAACCUGGGAAAUAUUUAUUGGACCAGGACAAAAAUAACCUGGUCCAGAGGAGGCCAAGGCCCUCGAGGGCCAACAUCCGCCCUCUCUGCAUUCACAAGGGACCUAAUUCCUCCUCCACCGAACAGGUCUGAAGCCCAAGGUUUUCAAUGGUGUGCCUGAAGGAGGAAACGGAGGAUAAUCUGGAGAUCAAGGACAAUCAACAGCUAUGAGAAAUUUGGGGUUGAGGAGGAAGUGGCAGCUCAAAGUGUGUGUUGUGUGGCCCAUCAUCGGCCAGCGGAACUAGCAGCAGAUUCGGACAGUGAGGAAGUUGGGGAGGACCAUGGGCCAGUCUUCGUCCCUGAGCAGAUCAAGAAGCAACGGUCGGAAACUAAUCAAGGAAACAGCCACCAGCCUGCUGGUCCUCUGGUGGUGGGUUUGAAGGAGGAAGACCAUCUAGUUCUUUCUUCAGGCACCGAAACGUCUUGAGAAAGGAGGUUGUUUUUCUAGCUGUUGGUAAAAAACCAGCCAUGCACCCUCAUUAAUAAACACCACCGAGAGGGUGAAACUUA